CUGCUUUGGCAGCACAUAUACUAAAACUGGAACAACACAGGGAAGAUUAGCAUGGCCCCUGUGCAAGGUAACACUCAGGGGUGAUAUUCGUGGUGUUACAUGUUUUU